UCCUCUCGUUUUGCCAAUAUU
rnacentral:piRNA from 1 species